rnacentral:pre_miRNA from 1 species
AGUGGGAUAGUUGGGUCAAAUGGUUGUUCCAUUCCAUGUUUUCUGAGGAAUCUCUAUACUGUUUUCCAGAGUGGUUGCUCCAAUUUGCUAUCCCACUAACAAU